GGGCCAGGGACAAUGUCAGGUGGGUAGUUUGACUGGGGCGGUCGCCUCCUAAAAUGUAACGGAGGCGCGCGAAGGUUCCCUCAGGCUGAUUGGAAACCAGCCGACGAGUGCAAAGGCAUAAGGGAGCUUGACUGCAAGACAUACAGGUCGAGCAGGUGCGAAAGCAGGUCUUAGUGAUCCGGUGGUUCCAUGUGGAAGGGCCAUCGCUCAACGGAUAAAAGGUACGCCGGGGAUAACAGGCUUAUCGCCCCCAAGAGUCCAUAUCGACGGGGCGGUUUGGCACCUCGAUGUCGGCUCACCGCAUCCUGGGGCUGAAGCAGGUCCCAAGGGUUGGUCUGUUCGCCCAUUAAAGCGGUACGCGAGCUGGGUUUAAAACGUCGUGAGACAGUUUGGUCCCUAUCCGUCGUGGGUGUUGGAUAUUUGAGAGGAGCUGCUCCUAGUACGAGAGGACCGGAGUGGACGAACCUCUGGUUUUCCGGUUGUGAUGCCAAUUGCAUCGCCGGGUAGCUAUGUUCGGAAAGGAUAACCGCUGAAAGCAUCUAAGCGGGAAGCCAACUCCAAAACUAGAUUUCCCUUCCUCCUUCGGGAGGACCGUAGACCCCUUGUAGACUACAAGGUUGAUAGGCCAGAUGUGUAAGCACAGUAAUGUGUUCAGCUAACUGGUACUAAUUGGUCGCGAGGCUUGACCUU
rnacentral:rRNA from 1 species